rnacentral:tRNA from 1 species
GCACGCCUAGCUCAGCUGGUUAGAGCGCCUCGUUUACACCGAGGAGGUCAGGGGUUCGACUCCCUUGGCGUGCACCA